AACGUUCCCAACCGACAAACGUUAGCCACCAGCCGGAACCGAGGAUUGCGUGGUCCCGGGGCGACCCGGGAUGCGAAGCGUAUCCAGGGAGUCUGUAGGCCGCAUAAUAGAGGGCGGAAUCCAGUUCCAAGUGCG
rfam:Thioalkalivibrio denitrificans strain ALJD Ga0073317_1001, whole genome shotgun sequence.